rnacentral:rRNA from 1 species
UACGUAGGGUGCAAGCGUUGUCCGGAAUUAUUGGGCGUAAAGCGCGUGUAGGCGGCUUUGCAAGUCGGGUGUGAAAGCCCUCAGCUCAACUGAGGAAGUGCGCCCGAAACUGCAGAGCUUGAGUGCCGGAGAGGGUGGCGGAAUUCCCCAAGUAGAGGUGAAAUUCGUAGAUAUGGGGAGGAACACCGGCGGCGAAGGCGGCCACCUGGACGGUAACUGACGCUGAGACGCGAAAGCGUGGGGAGCAAACAGG